rnacentral:rRNA from 1 species
ACACCGGCAGCCCAAGUGGUGGCCAUUUUUAUUGGGCCUAAAGCGUUCGUAGCCGGCCUGAUAAGUCUCUGGUGAAAUCCCGCAGCUUAACUGUGGGAAUUGCUGGAGAUACUAUCAGGCUUGAGGUCGGGAGAGGUUAGAGGUACUCCCAGGGGAGGGGUGAAAUCCUAUAAUCCUGGGAGGACCACCUGUGGCGAAGGCGGCUAACUGGAACUAACCUUACGGUGAGUAACGGAAGCCAGGGGCGCGAACCGGAUUAGAUACCCGGGUAGUCCUGGCCGUAAACGAUGUGGACUUGGUGUUGGGAUGGCCUCGAGCUGCCCCAGUGCCGAAGGGAAGCUGUUAAGUCCACCGCCUGGGAAGUACGGUCGCAAGACUGAAACUUAAAUGAAUUGGCGGGG